UACGUAGGGUGCGAGCGUUAAUCGGAAUUACUGGGCGUAAAGUGCGCGCAGGCGGCCGCGCAAGUCGAGUGUGAAAGCCCCGGGCUUAACUUGGGAAUUGCGCCCGAAACUACGUGGCUGGAGUGUGGCAGAGGAAGGUGGAAUUCCAGGUGUAGCGGUGAAAUGCGUAGAGAUCUGGAGGAAUACCGGUGGCGAAGGCGGCAUCCUGGACCGAAACUGACGCUGAGGCGCGAAAGCUAGGGGAGCAAAGCGGG
rnacentral:rRNA from 1 species